AAAAGCCAAAGCCCAGCCAAGAUCAGUAGCCAUUCCAGCAUGUGUGGAGGAGAGUGAGGUCACCCGUCCUCAGCUUGGGGUUUGCUUUGCCUUACUGCCUAGAGCCAAUUCUUGAUUUCCAGUGUGGGCUGAGGAUCCAGUCAGUCAGAAGCCUAGCUCUGGGUCUACCUGUGUGGGCGCUGCUGAUAGGGAUGAGCUAGUGCUCUGGGGCGGCUGGGGCCCCUCCCCACUGCCCAGGCAGCCAUGCUGGGGAGCUUGUGGAAAUGCCUGCCACCUUCCCCUGCUGGGCUUGCCUGAGAGGUUCUGAGUGGCUGGAAGGGGAAAACAAGUGUCGAUAUGUUGGAGAAUAGAGACAGAGCACCCUCAGUCCAGUGAGUUCCAAGACUAGAGCUCACCAGCAGAGAGAGAAUUCCCUGGUGAACGGACCAGCUUUUCUUCUUCCCAGAUCCAGAUUCUCUUGAGAAAUUGGCAGAUCCGGCGUUCCGGGUUCCUGUCCCCUCCCAGCAGCUGUCUUGGUGCCACACAGCAGGAACUCCACAGGCCUCUCCUGACCAGCCCCAGCGAUUUGUCAGUUUGAGCCCACCUCAAACUGACAUUUUGGUGCAUAGCCUCAGAGUUCCCGAUUUGUCUUACUCUGCAGGAGAGAUUGGAGCUGAGGUAAGUGACCUCCUUUUCCUCUUUUUCUCAUUUUUUAUUUAACUUCUGCCCCAGUGGAAAUAUUCCAUCCCAUCGAGGUGAAAUCCAUUUCCUGUGCUCCCCAUAUCCUCCCUUGAUACGCCAACAUGCUGCUCAUUUUCUUCACAGUCAGAAUAAAACCAUCAGCCCUGCUUUCCCCUCAAGCUGCUAUCCCAGUUCUCUCCGUCAUCUGUUUCGAGAUGUGUCUAUAUUCAUUGCCUCUGUUCCCAUUCACUAUCUUCUCAGGCCCUUCUCCGUCCUCGACUCCCAUGUUCUAAGCUUAGUGACAUGUUCGGUUUUCAUUCGCUUUACCUCUUAACGUCAUUUUGCAUUGUUAAUUACAAUCUUGAAAUGCUUCUUUUAGUUUUGACUAUGCUGUAAAAUCUUGGCCUUCUGAUUAUUCCUUCUCUGCCUCCUCUUCUGGUUGCCUGGAUAUAGGAUUACCCCAGGCCUUAUCCUGGGCCCUCGUCCCUCCACGUUCCUACUCGGGUGCCUCCCCCAGUCCCUUGUCCCUGAGCUCCAGGCCCACAAUCCCAUCUACCUGCAGGAUGUUCUGCAAGUCCUCUGAUUUAAGCCCAUCUCAAACUUUGCCGUCACGUUUGUCAUGAUGACAUCAUCUUUUAAUGGUAUCACUUUUCUGUUAGUCACCAAGGCAUGAGCUUGGUUUUGUCUGACGCCUUCCCUUGGCAACAGCCAGUCCGAGUGGAAGGUGCAUUCGUCUCCCCGCUGCUAUAAUCAGAAUACCACAGACUGGGCGGUGGAAUGUGUGUGGGACUAAGCAGCAGCAAUUUAUU